UAAAACCCAUCUGAUGAGAUUUAUGGCUUA
rnacentral:piRNA from 1 species